CCCCCUUCCUCUGCCCCGCCCCCGCGGCCUGAUCCGCUUUCGAAGAAGCCGGAACAAAGUCCCAAAGUUGCUGCUCAAGGAGAUGCCGCCUUGCCGCGGGCCGCGCGGAGAGGGGGUGGGUCGGUCUAGCUUCGUGCCCUGCAUAAGCUCGCCCUGCGUCCCCACACCCCACGCUCCCAGGGCCGCCGAGCCGCCGCUCCCAGCCACGCACUGUAAGGACAAUGGACCGACCGGGGUAGGUUGCCCACAGUGGAAGCAGAAAGACCAGUCAGGAGGCUGCUGUGCUUGCUGAGGCGAGAGAUGCUGGUGGCCAUGGGGACAAUCCAAGUGGAUGGGCUGACUCAUGCAGAGCCUGCUGGAAAGGGUACUGCAACCCAGACAAAGUGGACCGGAGAGUCAAGAGCUGUGACUGACCACAUCCCACCCAGGCUAAUUUCAUAAUUAAAAUUUAAUUCCACUAGCUGA